AGCCAGACUCCUACGGGCGGCCGCAGUGGGUCCUCUUGCCCAAUGGGUGGCACCCCGAUGCCGCGACGCCGCGUGGGUGAAGGAGCCCCUCGGUGCGUAACGCCCUCUCGGCAGGGCGGACACAGACGGUCCCUGACUAAGAAGCCCCGGCUAACUCCGUGCCAGCAGCCGCGGUCCUACGUAGGGGGCCCGCGUUAUCCGGAUUCACUGGGGGGCAAGGGAGCGUAGACGGCGACGCAAGGCUGGAGUGAAAGCCCGGGGCCCAACCCCGGGACUGCUCGGGAAGCUGCGGCGCGGGAGGACGGGAGGGGCAGGCGGAAGUCCUGGUGGAGCGGUGAAAUGCGGAGAGAUCAGGAGGAACACCGGCGGCGAAGGCGGCCUGCUGGACGGAAACUGACGGGGAGGCGCGAAAGCGGGGGGAGCAACCAGGAGGAGAGACCCGAGGACA
rnacentral:rRNA from 1 species